rnacentral:lncRNA from 1 species
GAUUGACGUAAGUUAUAUGAUCAUGUAACUUAACGAGCAUCAUGUAUUUGGCCAAGCCAUUCAAUGCUUUCUUCUUUACUGGUGAAAAAGAUGAAAAUACUAAAGUCCAACUUUUGGCUGGGUCAAACUAGCCUUUGACUUUUCCAAAAAUACUUAGGUCAUGCUAUGGUACAUAAUAUCUUAUAUACAGUAAUUCUAAGUUGUCAUUCAAAUAAAAAAAUUACAGCAUAUAAAAUAAAAGAGUUGUCAUGGGUGACAACUCACGGAUAACAUGACCUAGCCCAUAACUUGUUUGAUAUUUCCACAAGCAACAAUCAUAUGCUUGAGUAAGUUGGUGAACUAAUAAUGCAAGUAUAUAUUUAAGCUCCCUGUUUAAUGUUAAUCAGUUUGUAUCCUAUGAUUUGAUUUCAAAUAUAUAUAAAUAUUAAUUGAUCACCUAACUUCUGUCUAAUGUGAUUUCAAAUAUAUAUAAAUAUUAAUUGAUCACCUAACUUCUGUCUAAUGUGAUUUCAAAUAUAUAUAAA